AUUGCGCUUUUUUCCUGAAGAUGCAACGUUUUGCAGUUUCGAAUGAUGGUAAGCUGGCAUGGGGCUCUUGCUUCGCGAGCUGCCACGGAGGCCAAGUACCGGCAUCCAUCAAGCUUGUGAAGAAAGCUGGCGACGGCGACAGGGUGGAACCCGCUUGUGUGGCUUUUUCUUCUUUCGACGUGGAGCGCUCAGCACGCUUCGGUAUCAAGACUAGCUACAGCGCGGGUGACCAUGUAGUCCUCGCGUUCAAUGACCCCGACUCAUUUUUUGCGGCCACUAUUGUGCGCUGUGACACGUGGGCUGUGCAGUGGGCAAUAGAAAAGGCUGCGUGUCUUGCUGACGCUUCCGUAACGCAGCUGGCGGCUUUGUGCGCGAAUACGGUGUGCGGUGUGGCGACGGCGUCUAGUAGCGCUUCCUCAUCAUCCCCGGUGCAGCGCCUUUUUGUUGCCUCCCGUUUUGAUGUCCCUACAUCAAGUCGCAAAGCAAACAAGGAGUGGAGGCAGUUCCUGGCUCCUCCGAGGUCGAUUGAGACGGGGCUGGAGGAGGAGGGAAUCGCAUCCAUUAGCGCAUUCGACAAGAACACUCUUCUUGCUCUAACAGGGAAAGGCUCUCUGGCGCUGGUGCGCCUGGAUGCUAGGGCACUGAAGGAACAGCCGGCUUCGGCAUCGGCUUUCUACACCGUGCAGCGAAUCCAGUGCAAGCUAGCACUAGCAAGCAUUCGAUCUCGCAUUGUGGUCUACAACGAUGACAAGGAGCACGCUUAUGCAGCCGUCUACUCAGUUUCCGAAAAGGCGAUGGAGCUUGUCUAUUUUCAUCAGACUACGGCGGGAAUAUCCUCGCGCGCUGGUGAGAGGACGGCGACCGUCCUGAAAGUGGCCACGAGCAUCCCUAUCGACGACUUGCGCUUUGCCGGGUCGUUUCACCUUGCCGUGAGCUGCUCACGCAUAAAGGAGAAUAUGCAGUUUGUCGGCCUCAUUCCUGGCGCCGACGCGCUGGAAGCGAUGGUCUUCGACCCUCUCACGGUGCCAUACGCUCCCAUCACUACGCUAUACAGCGAGUCGACGGAGGAGUUCGUAGUGAUCUCUUCGUCUCAAGAGGUUGCAGCAUUUUCCACACUGACGAACGAGCAGAAGGUCGCCUCACUCAUCGGGACGACGCUGAAGUUUUCGACUGGCUCCUUUUCUCAGGCCUCGCUGAACAAGGCUGCUUGGGGACUGAUCUCCAACCCGUUUCGUCACUAUGGCCCGAAAACCAGGCGCCAUACAGAGGAAGAAAGCGGCGCGAACGAAGAGGAGGACUUGCAGUUGCUGCAAGGUGCUGGUGCCCGGUCUGCCGGUCGCUGGACCCCUUUGACGCUGUGCUACGCGUUGGCAACUCUCCGGUCAUCCUUGCCCACGACGCAGGUUGCAGUGUUCGCCGUGGAGACUGCGCCGUUCCUGCACACGCGACUCAUCAAGCAGUGGCACAAUGCCACCACUGGGCUCAGGACGAUCCUGGGAGCGGCUUCCACAGAACUGACUGGAGCUCUCGCGCUUCCGUGGAAUCCGCGACAUGUUCGCCGUGCCUUGCGCCUCUUCAGUCAAGACGAGCUCUCCUCUCUUCUUCAUCGCAUCGCGACGACGAUAGCGGCCAGCGAGCUUGUGGUUUCCCCUGUCUCGUACCCUGAUGCCACCACGACCGCUGUCGACAUUGCACUGCAUGUGAUCACACUGGCUCGGCAGAUGGGUGCCACAUUGAAGCCAGAGGACGUGAGGAUCGUCGCCAUUAUUCUGCGAGCGGCUCGCGAGAGCAGCCACGAGCUGUUGCGCUACGCCAGCUGCAUGGAGCUGCUGAUGGAGAGCCAUUUACAGCAGAGGGCCAUGGAUCGCGUCUUGGCACGCCGUGCCUCUGCACGCGACGAGGCUGAUGAGGUGUCGCAGACUCUGGAGGGGAACUUUUACGGCAUCGCGGCCGAGCUGCAGACUGAGCGGACACUACACACACGCUACACGUCAAACGCGUGGGCGCAGCACCUGGGCAAGUGCAAAGUGCAGUACAAGGCGGAAGCCGAAAGCGCGUUGCGGCUCCUUGCAGCAGCGCACCAUAAGAGCGAGAAAACGAUGGAAUGCGCUCUCAGUGACUGGCGGCAGCUUGGUUCCACGCCGCACCAAGACCCGUUGCUGAACCAAUUUGAGCACGCACUCCUGUAGGCCGUUAUGGGGAAUCGGGGCGGCAAUCAUGCGUGAUGGUGUUUGACGCUGAAGCCGAGGAAGUUUCAGCCGCCUGCAGCAUCAGCGAAGUGCACGCAGACUGUUCUAGGAUUCUUCUCGAGAACCACUGCAGCGUCACGAGUAAAAUGCGGUACGGAGGAAAAUUUUGAUUAAGGUAAACCCGUAACCCACGCGUGCGAAUCGCCGAGCGCGUCGUGUCUUUGUCAAGGAACAAACAACC
rnacentral:misc_RNA from 1 species